rnacentral:misc_RNA from 1 species
GAUUGCAAGAAUAUUCUCAGUAAUGGAUGAAUGCUAAUUUUGAGCUGAAUAAAUGAAAAACAUACAUGCAUGCAAUAUCAAAAUGACAGGAAAGUAAUUUCAUGUUAGCACUGCAAGGAGCUGCGUCUGCUGCGCGUGGUCUCCGUGAUGGCAACGGCAUGCUGCAUAGCGCAGCCCACUGUGGCCGCCAUGCCAGGCCACUACGAGCCUUGUCGCCGCCGUGACACUGAACUUUUUGAUGGGGCUUUGCCCUCUGAGCUUAUUGGCUGUGUAGCUUCCAGCAUGCUAGCGGCGACGAAAAGGGAGAGAAAGUCGGGUAUUAACUCCACUUAUGGUUGAAGGAGUACAAAAAAUUUUGCACCGCGAGAUUUGUGGGCCAACAUACUUUAAACGUGAGGCCAUUAUAUGGUUAGUUAGAAAACUGGUUCCGCGCCCCUUUAAUAUAUGCUUUUUGUAUACUGGUUGUUCUCAAGUAUGUUAAUAAACAGAAGGCAUUCCUUUUGUCUUGCUUGCCAUCCUAUUACACUUACAUUGCGAGAUCUGUCCGGAGGGUGCCUUAUGGCCUAAAUGUUUGUUCAUGCACAUCAGGUUUGCUCUGUUGUAAUCAUUAACUUGUUUUUUUUGUUUCAGAAUUUCAGUCUCAGGUACUCCGGCUGCUAAACAUUGUGAGGCUGACUGCACAGGAAAUUUUGAGCAAUCUGGAUGCCUGUAUGGCUCAAGGCAAGGUGACCUCUGCACCCGCUCUACUAGUGCAGCAGCCGUUUGAGACGGUGGAUGCGCUGCUGAACUUUGAAGCAUCACUUGGUCCAGAGGAUGUUAAUGUCUUGAUCAACGAACUUGUGCAACUUGGGGGCAGAAACCCAAAUGCGGCAGUUAAGCGUAUGCUUGCUUACCUCUUUGCCGAUAAGCUGGCUGCUGAAUACUCGUGGCAUGGGAAGAAAGGAAAAAGGAAGUUCUCUGAUCUUCGACUGUGUCAGCAUUUGUUUACUGCUGUCAGGAAGCGCUUCCCACAAAGUACACGAGAUGAUGUCGAGUCAACCACUAAAUCAUGGCUUCGUCAUGCUCCUGAGAGGACUAAUGGAAGAGAUGGGGCCAGAGAUACGUGAAGGGUUGUUGGAUUGCAGAAGUACGACCGUCACAGGAAGUCGUGUUGUGUGCUGAAGACUUGCAUGCUGAAGUUGCAUGCCAGACCCAUGAACACCCACAUACAAGUGCCUUCAAGUUCCACAAGUUCAAGCACCUGAUAAUUUAUUGUAUUCAAAUGCUAUGAGUAGCAUUCUAGUCUCCCAAAGUCUGUUCUAAUUUUUUAAACAUACAGAGCUGUACUUCCUUUAUGUGUAGCUUUGUUCUGCUUACAAGACUUAUUUUAAGAUUGUAUUUUUAUCUCUUCAGUUGCAUUUGGGGGCCAUGACGAAUGUUCUAAAGCUACAUGUUUCUUCAAUA